AGGUAGAAGAUAAUGCAAGAAGCAGUUGCAAGGUGUUGGUGGAGAGACACCUGUUUGCUCCAUCAUUUGUUGUAGCAAGGAGAAAAUACAACACCGCCAGAGUUCUGUGAGCUCAGCAUUCUUUUGAAUAAAGCAGUGAGUGUUCAAGGAUCGGCACCUGAGUUGGGAUACCAAGCUGCAGUCAAUAUUUCCCUCUCGACCCGCCUCCCUCUUUCCUGAUUGGUCGAGAAGCCGAGACGGCAGAAGCUCAGCGAUUGGCCAAGGCGCUCAGGAGACGGCCAAGCCUCCUCCCAGCUAUAGAGCGCCAGCCAAUCAAGCCGACAGAGGGGCGGGGAGCGGGAAAUUCAAACCGGACAGCUCUGUUUUAUGUAUAAAAAGGCCUUUAUUUGUGUACACUGUAUGCUCUGCUUGGCGAAAUAUUGCUGCUUUGCAUCCUUUCCAGCUGGACCGCAAUAAAAUCAACUCGGUGGUGCUUCCUUCAA